AGGAACGCCGUCCCCAAAUUGUGCCAACUCCGGGAUCGAGCAGGGAUGGUGCACCCCGGCUGGGUCUGCCUGCUGCAGAGCCUCCUCCUGCUGGCCAAAGCGUGGCAGAGCCGCGGCCCCGCCGGCGCUUGCCCGCUCCGCGGAAAGAGUGAGCUGAACUCCUUCUUGUGGACCAUCAAGAGAGAUCCGCCAUCUUACUUCUUUGGCACCAUCCAUGUCCCAUACACCCGUGUCUGGGAUUUCAUCCCAGAGAACUCCAAGAAGGCCUUUCAGCAGAGUCACAUCGUGUACUUUGAGCUGGACCUUACCGACCCCUACACUAUCUCUGCUCUCACCAGCUGUCAGCUGCUGCCCCAGGGGGAGAAUCUCGAGGACGUGCUGCCCCGUGACAUCUACCGCCGGCUCAAGCGGCACCUGGAAUAUGUCAAGCUCAUGAUGCCAUCUUGGAUGACGCCAGACCAGCGGGGCAAGGGGCUGUAUGCAGACUACCUCUUCAAUGCCAUUGCUGGCAACUGGGAGCGGAAGAGACCGGUGUGGGUGAUGCUGAUGGUGAACUCUCUGACGGAGGUAGACAUCAAGUCUCGAGGAGUGCCUGUCCUGGAUCUGUACCUGGCCCAGGAAGCAGAGCGACUUAGGAAGCAAACAGGUGCUGUAGAGAAAGUGGAGGAGCAGUGCCACCCACUGAAUGGGCUUAACUUCUCCCAGGUGAUCUUUGCUUUGAAUCAGACUCUCUUGCAGCAGGAGAGCCUCCGAGCAGGCAGUUUCCAGAUCCCCUAUACGACAGAAGAUCUUAUCAAGCAUUACAACUGUGGAGACCUCAGCUCCAUCAUCCUCAACCAUGACACUUCUCAAGUCCCAAAUUUCAUUAAUGCUACACUGCCAGCCCAUGAACGUAUUACUGCCCAAGAGAUAGACAGCUACUUCCGUCAGGAGCUCAUCUACAAGCGAAAUGAGCGAAUGGGAAGGAGGGUGAAGGACCUGCUGGAAGAAUACCCAGACAAGAGCUUCUUUUUUGCAUUUGGAGCUGGUCACUUCAUGGGCAACAACACAGUCAUUGAUGUUUUGAGGAGAGAAGGGUAUGAUGUAGAGCACACUCCAGCUGGACAAGCCAUCAACAACGGAAAACUCCCCAAAACCUUGUUAGCCUUUUCAUCAUCCUCACCAGCACAUCGCCCCUAUGUAGUAUCCCAGGAGCUCCCAGUGCCAUUGCAUCCCCAGAAAGAGGAGGAGGAAGAGCUCUUACCUCACCUGCUGCUCCCUGAUGGCAUCGAUGUGCUGGAGAAGGUAGAGAGAAAGUACAAAAAGAAGCAGCAGCAGCAGAAGAAGCAAAGUCUGCGACAGUUUAAUGACCUAUGGGUUCGCUUUGAAGAAAGUGCCACUGACCCUCCUCCCCGGAUCCGCAUCAUCAAUGGCUACAUCACCGUGGAACCCCAGCCCCGGGGCCAUGGAUGGUUCAGUCCUGCUUGCACAGACGCCAGCGGCUCUCACCAGCUCUCCCACUCCCUCCUGCUCUCACUACUGACUUUGGCUAUGCAUAUGAUUAGGCUGCACUGAGAUGUAAGGGGAGCCAAGUGGCAGGGCUCUCUCCUUAAAAAGCAAAAAAGAGACUUUAAAAAAAAAAUGGAAGACUUUGUGAUUGGGACACCUAUUCUGUGGGGUGUUCUCAGACUGCCUCCUUUUCCUGAACCUGGAUCAUUAACACUAUUAACUGGUUUGACCUGCCCAAUACAGGAGAAGAUAUUUUAAUGAAAGUGUUAUUUAUCCUUCUCUUGCAGAAGAGUGACUUCAUGUUAUCCCAUAAUGCUUUGGGGAAAUGUAUAAUGUUGCUAUAACAUAGCUGUUGUUUAGCUAUAUGAGCCCAACUGAGUUACACUUUUUGCACCUUCAGUGCCUUGUGUGAAGAUUUACACACCACUAGCUUGUUUAUUAGAGGAGAGUAUUUUGGUCAUAAGAACACAGCUGGGAGAAGGAGGGCCGCCUCUUGUGACCAUGCUUACUCAUCUUAUGAGAAACAUGUCCUCCCUCAUCUUAGAAGGGCUUCAUAGCACAGGAAGGUCUCAUGAGAUUUUUUGCCUCACCUGUGGGAGGACUUACAGCACAUUCAGGACUUGGUGCCUUGCAUACACAGCAGAUACCUGCCCCUGUGAGACGUCAAAGGAUAUGAUUUCUUCAGACUUCUUUUCCUAUGCAGAUGCUUCACUACUUUUCAUUGCUUGUAAAAAACACCCCUUUUUCACAUCCUUCUGCUGCACACUUCUGCUUUCCUCCAGGAGGAAGAAUGUUUCCAGGUGUGCUAACAGACUUUUCAUCCCAAGAUCUCAAAUUCUAGUCCACUUCCAGGAGGACUGUAUCUAAACAAAGCCUCAUUUUGGUGAGGAAAACAAAGAAAGCAGAGGCUGAAUAUUGCUGGGAAAUAAGUUUUUAUGCACAGAAGACAGCACCAAUUAGUUGUAUAUUCCUUAUCGAAAGACCUCAGCAUCUCAGAGACAUUCUGUUUUCCAUGGGAUGACAUAGCAGCCAGUUGCUGUGCUCCUAUAACCAUCACUGAUGUUCAGCAAUGUAUUGUGAUUUCCUGUUAAUAUUUGUUGCUUGACUAAGCUUCACUAAUGGACUCCUGUGCCAUGACAGAGCUUCAGGGGAAGAUACAGUGCUCCUCAGUAGAGAAAAAAGAACAUAAUACUGUGACACUUCAAGAGGAGAAAUUUGUCUUCAGACACUCGAGUAGUCUGAUGAUUGUUCUGUGCCUUGUAGAGCUUAAGCUGCAAUUACUCCAUAAAUAAGAUAAGUGGUAUAUUUCAGUGGGUUGCGAUGGCCCUUUUUAAUCAGCUGUUUGAAACACUGUGACACAGUCAGCCUGUGGAAGUCAUCCUGAAAUCUCUUGGAAAACCAAGCAAUGAACUUUGGAAGACAGAUUUUUCUAGUGGCUUGUUCUCUAGAAAAUUUGGAUAAAGCAUGUCAUGUACCCUUGCCUGGCAUUAUCACAAUGAAAUACCUAAGGCCGGAAGGCCACCUUCCUGCAGCUGUUUCUGUUCUGUGUAUUGGAUAGUCAUUGGCUCCGUCAUGUAAACAUUCAUGAGACAUGCUCAAGCUUAUCAGGGUCUCUGAAAAGAUACACACAGUACUGUAAAUCAGCCCUCUGAAUGACUGAAACCUCACAUAAUCACAGUAACUAGCAUUCAAGGCUAGCAUGCAUGACGAGGUGUACAUCACAUUGUCCAAGAUGAUACAUCUCAGUACGGCACAGUGGUAUGCAUGGACACAGACUGAAGGCUGCUGGUGGAACCAGACUCCUCGAGGCCUAGAGCUGGUGCUACCUCUGUGGAAUUGUGUGAGGUGGUGUAGAUAUAGAGAGACAAAGCAACUCUGGCCCCGUGAUUAAUAGGUAAAUAGUGCUCUUAAGAAGGCUGUACCGAAUGUGUCAGAAAACAUGUAGAUUAUGUGUCUCCUUCUACUUUCUAGAAACCAAACCUUUGAGUACGUAAAGCCUGUCAUUAAUUUAGUGGGUAUUGACUAUGCUGCUUUAUUUUCAGGCUGCACUGCAAUGGAUGUGCUGCUGCAUGCAGUCACAUACCAUGUUACUCUUAUGACGCACCAAGUACAUGUGUAAUAUGUUUGAAAAACAUCCCAGGAGAUGAAUUUUAUACAUCUGAUUUAAACACUGUGUAAAGUAUGAAUUUGCCGACUUUCCCCAGUGUUCACUAGAAAGCAAGGCAACUUUCUCAGACAUUCUGAUGGUGUGUACCAGGUCUUGGCUCCAUGUGGAAGAUUAAGUGGUGUGGGGAGCUUUGUGCUGACCUUGUGUAUCAUACUGGGUAACUAUCUGCAUCUAGACCUCCAAGGGUAUGAGCUUGUACCUCAGUGGAUCAAACUGACCAUAGUUUUUUAAAGAACUGGGGAAGAAAUGCUAUGAGAAAGAAAGAUCUUGAGUAGCAGGCUCCUACCCUGACUUGAAAGGUGAGAAGAUGUGCAACGAUGUUACAUAUACAUAUCCAUCCAUCCGUCUGUCCAUCCAUCCAUACCUGAUACAGUAGUUCCACAUCUGGAAUUUAGCAGGCCACAUAAACCAGUUUCUCUUGGGGCUUUGACAUUUUUAAGCACUGUGCUACUGUGUAAACUGCCCACCUGCUCUGAGGAAUUUUCAUCAAUAUGUAAAUAACUCAUAUGCAGGCUACUGCAAGAGACGCAUGCACACAGGCUGCUUUCCCCACAGUAGCCUGAAUGCUGCAGUGUUAGCCUCUUAAAUACUAUCCAGCAGUUCGUGUUUCUUUUUUACAGUGUUGUAUACUUUCUCUGUAGCUUACAUGGCUCAUUGGCACAGAUGUGCUGUUUAUGACAUAGGAAUAUGUUUGUGGUUAUACAGCUUUGCAGGGAACUUUGUUUACCAGAAGAUGUCUGGGCACCCACCUGUGAAACCUACUGUAGGCAAUCUGACUUAGCAGCGGGGGUGGACUGGAUGAUGUCUAGAGGUUCCUUCCAACCCCUGCAAUUCUGUGAUUCUGUGAAGAAUUUUUUCACUGUAAGGAUGGUGAAGCACUGGCACAGGUUGCCCAGAGAGGUGGUGGAUGCCCAGUCUUGAGAGAAUGGGGAGGUUAGAGAAAGAAAGAGAGAUACUUAAGUUUUCAGUUGUGGAAAGAAUGGCAGGAGCAAAAAGAAGGACCCAGAAAAGACGGCUAAGGUGAUGAGUUGUAGAUGGUGUCAGUCAGGUAAUGAAGGAAGAAACAAAGGUAAAUUGAAGGGGAAAAAAGGGGAAAAAAUGCUGCAGAUUUGGUAGCUGUAUUGGCUCAGGUGCGGGCUUUCUCUCAGAGUGGAGAGGUUUGGGAUGUUCUCCAUGGAUGAGCAGGAGAGAAUGCAAAAUAAUAAGACAGUUAAAACUCUUAGUUCAUGCGGGGGCAAUGCGUUGCAUGUGAGGUGGUUGGAAGGAGCUGUGAACAAGUUUUCUGCUGGUGAUAGGUGCUGCAGGAGGACGAGGGGGUAGACCUUUCUUUCAAACGAUUAAGUGUGAAAAUAGGAAAUGGAAUGUUGUUUUUAGUGUUUUGUGUCACUAUUAUGUUAUUCUAUGGUAGGUGGUGCACCUUUGUUGGAAGGGGAUUUUUUGAGAGAUCUCCUUUAGGAUGUGUGUUUAAACUUCAGAAAAAGGGACAAUGGGGGAGGAGUCAGGGGACCCUCCCGCUGGGGAGUCCACGUAUCCAUACAGCACCUGCUGCACAGGACAUUCUCUAAACAGAACGACAGAAAGAUGUGAUUUUUAUGUUGGCAAUUAUUAUUUCGCGUAAAGGCAAGAGCAAAGUCCAGGGCACAAGAUAAACCAUACUCAGUCUUUAAAGCUUCUAUUGCUGAAACAAAUUCCAUCGUGCUAAAAACAAGAAACAAAACUGUGUCUCUGCCUUUGGUAAUGCAGUAUGGAAGAACAAAUCACAGAAGGCUGAUGACAGCAUGUGGCAAUUGAGGCAUGGACUCCGUUGCUAGUGCAGGACGAAGACUUUUACUGUACAUGCUCACAACCUUUUAUACCCACGCAACAACCUUCGCCUUAUGAAUCGUGGCUCUAAGGCACGAUAUAAUACAUACCAACAAGCAUGCAAAAACUAAAAGACACAUUAAUCUGAGAGUUCCAUGGGCUAGUAGUAGGAACUGUGUGGCUGGCUGUUCACUGUUUGUGAACCAGCUCACGCAAGUGGUGCAGCUUUUCACUAUGCUGCACCUCAGUGGCCCCUAUGAUGAACAAAAUAAAGACAACAGUUGUUUUCUUUUUAAUAAAGAAAUGUUUAUGCAAGCUUUGUGCAUUCGGACCAGACAUAUUUUUACACAGAGAAAUGGAGAAGGGCUUUUUUUCUGUUUUUUCCUCAUUUUCCUCAACUCCCAAUCUCUCUCCUUUUUUCUUUACACAAGAAGUAAAGAGAGUAAAAAAUUUCCUGAGGUAGUUGUCACAUUGCUUGACGCUGAGAGAUUGGCUGCAGUGUAAUUGUACCAAGUGGAUCCACCGUCCAGUUACCUCCAUCUAAUUCCAUGCGUUACUCAAAUUGGCUAGUUCUAUGCAGAUAACGCAUCGGGGACCAUUAACCAGGCCCUAAGCCCUAAGAGUCUUUGGAUUGGUCCAAAGCCGCAACAUAUAAUUGUACUUGAGCCGCUGUGGUGGAGUAAUUACCUUCCCCAAGCAAGGCUUCUGUACCAAUGACUUGUAACAGGUCCCCAUUCAGUAUACACAGAUUCUCUAUCACCUUUUGUUGUGCAGAUUCUCUCCAAAACCCAUC